rnacentral:rRNA from 1 species
UACGAAGGUGUCAAACGUUGUCCGGAAUAACUGGGCGUAAAGGGCGCGUAGGCGGUCGCGUAAGUCAGAUGUGAAAGCUCUGGGCUCAACCCAGGAAUUGCAUUUGAUACUGCGAGACUCGAGUUCGGUAGAGGAGGGCGGAAUUCCAGAAGUAGCGGUGAAAUGCGUUGAUAUCUGGAGGAACACCCGUGGCGAAGGCGGCUCUCUGGUCCGAUACUGACGCUGAGGCGCGAAAGGUAGGGUAGCAAACAGG